rnacentral:rRNA from 1 species
UACGUAGGGUGCGAGCGUUAAUCGGAAUUACUGGGCGUAAAGCGUGCGUAGGCGGUUCGUUAAGUCAGCUGUGAAAGCCCCGGGCUCAACCUGGGAAUUGCGGUUGAAACUGGCGAACUAGAAUCUGGCAGAGGGGGGUGGAAUUCCACGUGUAGCAGUGAAAUGCGUAGAGAUGUGGAGGAAUACCGAUGGCGAAGGCAGCCCCCUGGGUCAAUACUGACGCUCAUGCACGAAAGCGUGGGGAGCAAACAGG